rnacentral:rRNA from 1 species
GUGCCAGCAGCCGCGGUAAUACGUAGGGAGCCAGCGUUGUCCGGAUUUACUGGGCGUAAAGAGCGCGUAGGCGGUUUUGUAAGCGGAGGGUGAAAUCUCGGGGCUCAACUCCGAGGCUGCUUUCCGAACUGCAAGACUAGAGUACGGGAGAGGAUAGUGGAAUUCCUGGUGUAGCGGUGGAAUGCGUAAAUAUCAGGAGGAACACCCGUGGCGAAGGCUGCUAUCUGGAACGUUACUGACGCUGAGGCGCGAAAGCUAGGGGAGCGAACGGGAUUAGAAACCCGGGUAGUCC